GUGUGUUAAGACAAGAGAGAAUGUUAGUAACUCCCAGGAUAAGGACACAAGUGGUUCUAAUGACCUUUUCAACCCAAUGGUUUCAAGGCAGUGGUUUCAACAGAUGGUUUUAAGGCAGUGGUUUCA
rfam:Pteropus alecto contig108819, whole genome shotgun sequence.